UCUAUGAGUGCUCUGACCAGUAGACUCCACAGCAGGGCUUCUGCAGUCCCCACUUAGCACUGGCCGGGGAUACAUGCACCCCAGUCAGCCCUUGUUGAGUGACUUUCUAAGGCUUAGUACGGCACACAUUUGAAUUGUGUUCCCUGCAUGGAGUCAGCUGCCACCUAAGACUUGUGACCACCUUGAAGCCACUGAGCUGAGAAGCCCAAGCAUGUAGCGACGGGGCUCCAGGAGCACUGAGGUGGCGAAGGCCAGAACAAGGAAGGCAAUGGAAUCGUAUCAUCCAUCUUCGCCCUGGCGAUGCCAUUUGAAAACCUUGCGCCAAGCUACUAUUCACGAGAUUUCAUAAAAACAUCCAGAAGACCACGUGGCAAAAGAGAACAAGAGCAAAGAAGAGUUUGAGAAUCCCUGCUAGGGGAAGUUGGAGCCAUUGACCAGAAGAGCCUUGUUCCUGAGUAACUGCAGGAAGCCGGGUCCCACCCCUGCUCACCUCCCAGGCUUGGAGUGGAGCAGGGUGUGAGUUUACAAUGAAUGUGUUACACCACUGUGCUUUGGGCUUCAUUUAGCCACUCCUCCUGGUGUAGCGUGCAAUGACAGGAGGGCACAUUUACACUCAGGAAAAGGAAACCUACCAAUGCGAAAGGAUAGAGCGGGAGUUAACCAGGCUGACGUAAGAAGACGCAGGCUCCGAAGGCGGCGGGUUGGGACCUGUCUCACAGACGCCUGGGCCAGGCCCUUCUGCUGUGGCUCCCUCCUUGCAGGCACCCUGCUUCCUCUGAUGCAGACUGGGGCUCCUCGGCUGCUCUUUGCCGCUGACACUUUGCCCCUGAUGGCGUCUUCCACAUCUGCUGAGGGACUCGGCUGCUCAGCUCUGACCUGCUGCCUCCUAGCACUAGCAUCUGCGCGCCCCGCCCCCCGGCACUGGUUGGUCUCCUCGGUGUCACCCUGGCAUCACCUCCUUCUUGGCUUAGCCUUAGUUCUCCUGACCUGGCUCCCACUCAGCACCCAAGGUGCCCCCUGCCCAGCAUUGCCUGAUGGUGGCAUACAACCCAGUCACCCUUGGUUGACUGACCUUCCGAGGUCACUCUGAGGCUCCUAGAACACUCACUUGAAUUAUCUUUCCUUCCCCAUAAUUACUUGGAGCAGGAUGAGUUACAAAAAUACAUAUACUCAUCUUUUCAUGUUAUAUUAUAUGAAAAGAAAAAAAACUUAAUAUUUAGGGAGCCUGCACAUUCAACGCUGCUGUAUCUAACCAUUGCCACAGUAGCUCUCUUAGGCAGGAAUGUGGCCCCACAUUCCCAAAGGAAAAGAACUGAGACUCUAGGAUUAAGUUUCUGCCUAAGGCUCCCAUGCCUAGGAAGAAGGAAGGCUGAGGGUCUGAAGCAGGUUUACCUCACCCCAAACCUAUUUUCCUUCCCCUACAAAAUGCUGAC